ensembl:lncRNA
AUGAGCUGUCCUUUGCCCCAGCAAGCACUCCUAAGCUUUGUAUCCCUCACCCGCAGACUUCGGCUGCCUACAAACCACCUGCAAAGCCGCGUCUGCGCAAACCUGCCAGCCACAUCAAACCGUGACUUCCAUCGCCAGCGCGGGCAGGCAGCCAGAGGAGGAGCUACCAGGAAAAGGUCAGCAGGAGAUCCAACUUGGCUCCGCCGCAACAGCGUAAAAGGAUCCAAAAUAAGUAACAGCAGGCAUCUCCGCUAAAAUUUGCUUCUGAUCAACAUUAUUUUUCCUCUGGUACAAGAGAAGAAUUGAACACGUACUGCAAGUGAGGCACAGUAGUUUACUGCACAGAACAUGAGAAAGGAGGCUAAAGCUCUGGCAUUCAAAACUCUGCUCAGCCAGGGAGCCAGUAGAAGGUCUUCAACAAACCACAUGCACUCUGUGGAGCUAAUUCCCACCUAAAUGCUUUCUAUUUCAGAUAUAUAAGCUCAGACUGGAGGGGGCAGAGAGUGGAAUAGUCUUAAUUACACCCAUGCUCUACGCCUGCUUCCCCACACAUGAAGAUGUGAGGUCAGACCCUCACUGCAGGGAUGUCAGCAAUGCUGAGGGACUGUCAGCUCCCUGAAGUGCCAGCAUCUUACUAAAUCCAUCUGAUGACAUGAAAGCAGGAACUUUAUAUUAUGCUUUUGUGGUGGCAGUUUGUAUAUACCAGCACACAUUAAUAAAUGAAGAAUAAAGCACCACAACCACAAUCUGUACAUCUGUGUCUGUUUUAUGGUAUCCUGAAAAUAUUUCUGAAGUAGUUGGAAUACAGAAAACAGAAAUUAUCAUUCCGUCCCAGCUGGGCUCAUGUGAAAUGCUAUCUGACUCUGACUGGCAGAUUUGGUAUUUAGUUAAUUGUGAGAGACCCCACUUUGAAUAUUGUACCAACAUUUGUUAUGAUCCGUGAGUAUUUCCCUUCACAUCGCAUUUUCUCCAUACAUAAACUUACCAUAAUCCAAUAAAGAGCCUGUGUGAGCAGGUCUUCUACUUGCAGCCUUUCCACUAUGCAGGGGAAAGCCUGGCAUUUUUGCAUAUGAUGUUCAUGCAAUUUUUCAUUUCUGCCUGAGUGAGAUCUGCAAUGAAUGGAAGUUUUCCUCAUGCAAAAUCAUUUGUUCUCAGGCUGUUCCAACAUAAAACUGAAGGUUUCAUUCAGAGACAUCUAGUAAGAAAUGCUUCUCAGAAUCUGGUAAAAGAAACCUGCACUAGACAUCAGGAAAUUGUUCAUUAAAAAAACCACAAUCCAAAACCCAACUAGGGAACUAUGCUGAGGUGACAAAUGAAAUUGUAAUGGGGAAAAAAAUUAAGAAUAAUCAAAAGUCAACAGAGUCCUAAAGUUUCACAGUAAUUUGUCUUUCAAAAAGUGGAUGUACACUAAAUACUCCCCCUAAAAUCUUGCAUCUAAUUCACUCAUGGUCAAAAUGGAAUUUACAUUAAGUCAGUGUUCCUAAGGGACACAGCAACACAUAAGGUCCAAACCUGACUUAAAUCCAGAAGAAUUCCACUGAAAUCAAUCGUUACAGCAGUGCAAAUCAGCAAGAGAUCUAAAUCUGUCCUAGCUGAUUCCAGAUCUAUCUUUUAUUUGCUAUAUGGCUUCAGGCAAGUCAGUGACCUUCUUUUUAUUUCUCAGUUUCUCCAUCCGUAAAAUGGUGAUAAUAUUGUUGCAAUGAAGAUUGGGGGGGGGGGACCAAUUAAUUCUCUAACACGGUCUGGAUACAGAAAUUUCUGGGGAUCAAUCAUUUUUAGUCACCUCCAUCAUCUUUAUUGACUCUUUAUAAUCUUAAUACUUGGCUGCUUGCUUGCUUGCAUGUUUCUCUUUUAAAAACCACAAGCCAUAGCCUGGUAUCCUUAUUCAAGUUUUACGCUGUUUACUUCCGUGGCAGGAUUCACAUGAGAAAACCGAGUACAAAAUUCGGAAUCGGCCAAACGGUGAGGCUAUUUCAAACAAAACUCACGAAUCACUGCAUGAAAUUAACACCGUUUACACCCGUUUUGUCAAGAGCGCAGUUUAUUAGCUGAUGCCCAAACAACCAGGGCACAAACAAAAAAGUCGCCAAUCUUUCUUCACUCUUAUUUGAACAAGGCACGCUGCUCCGGCAUUUGAAGGGACAGUCGGUUUUGUUCAAACAGUUAAAGCGGGGGGAAAAAAAAUAAUGAAGAACAACCCAACCUGAAAACACCCUAACGUCUGACAGCUCUGAGAGGGACCUCUAGCGUGUGCUAGAACAUUUUGUGUUGUGCUUCGGGCGCAAUUAAUACACCAAAAUCACCGCAGUCAUUUUGAAUAGGCAAAGGGAAGUUUCGCCAAGUGCCUCCGACCCGCGGGCCCUGCAUCGUUCCGCGGGCCGAGCAUCCUUCCGCGGGCGCUGCCGAACCCAACCCGCAACUAUUAAACUGACACUUUUUCUUUUCUUUUCUUUUUCGCCGCUGGACUCGGCGUGCGCAAGAAGCCAACUUCCCCAGGUCACCCCGGAGUUUCCC